UACGUAGGGGGCAAGCGUUGUCCGGAUUUAUUGGGCGUAAAGAGCGUGUAGGCGGCUUUACAGGUCCGUUGUGAAAACUCGAGGCUCAACCUCGAGACGCCGGUGGAAACCGUAAAGCUAGAGUCCGGAAGAGGAGAGUGGAAUUCCUGGUGUAGCGGUGAAAUGCGCAGAUAUCAGGAAGAACACCCGUGGCGAAGGCGGCUCUCUGGGACGGUACUGACGCUGAGACGCGAAAUCUUGGGGAGCGAACAGG
rnacentral:rRNA from 1 species